CACCCCAAAACUGCUCAACCACCAUGAAAAGCUAGAACAUAGUAAUUCCCUAGACUUGACCCUCCCUGAUUAACAACAUUAUUAAGUAGUGGUUUCUUUAUUAAAGGUGUAGUGGCCGUGCUGCUACAUCCCUCUCUUCCCAAAGCAGAAAUUAGGUGCCUGCAUCAAACAAUGCAAGAGUGAGAUGACACAUCUCAGCAAGUAAACAGAGCAAACGACAAAUUGGACAUUGUAAACCAACUGUGCUUAAACAACCUCGUAGUUCAAAACUUUCUUCUUGAAUAUUAAAUUGCAGCAAGUAAACAAGUAACUAAUUACUUAAUGCCAAGAAGAAUCACAAUGUAAAAAUCCACAUUAUCCACAUCCACAUAAUAGAUUCCACACCUCUCCCAUGAAUGCACAUGGCUACAGAUGCAAUAAUGACUUCUGCCUUCAUAUCUCUAAGGAUAUGAAGCUGCAUCAUACCCCUUCUCGGGCAACAUAUGAUGCUCAAUAUACCGGUACGGUCAGACCAUAAGAUCACGACGAACUUCCAUGCAAUGAAUAAUGAAUGCAUUAUGCAUGACAACAACAUGAGUUCAUCCCAAGUAAAAUGUGCUAGACAUAUACCUCCACCCAUUCCACAUAAUAACCACUUGAGUAACAUGGUCAACCACAGACUCCACAUAUGUAAUCAAUAAAACAUGAAUAUCUUCAAAUGAUGGUACUCAAUUAAAAGUAUGAAUAUGAACACAACAGCACAACAUAAUCAAGUAUAAGACUUCAUUCGACAGACAGAAUAACCAUCACUGUUUUACUUGCCUUCACCGGAAGUUUGGGCAAAUCCUUAAGUACGGUCCGGAAGUCCACCACCUGUUUUUGACACCCAACUUAGUGCACCAAUAUCACAUAAAAAGCCCAAAAACAACGUCGCACCUACGCGCAGUCUCAAACCCCGCCGCGGGUAACAAUUCUCCCCACACCCACCAAACUGCAGCGGUGCUGCUUAACAAUUCCAUAACUUUAAAAUUAAGGCAGCAGUGGUGACAAACAAAAACUCUAGAGACAACUACAUAAAAUUUCCCACAAGUUUUGUAUACAAUUUAUGAUUAAAUUCUAACAUCUAAUUACCCCUAAACGGUCCACAAGAUAAACCCUGCAAUCUGUUUUUUUCUCUUUUGGGCAGCGACAUAUCCGGAUUCAAACAGCGAUAACUUUUAAAAUAUAAUUCCGAAUCGAGCGCAUAAGUACUUGUUGGAAAGGUAAGACAAAGCCCUACAUGAUUCUCAUACUGAUUAACACUAAUUACUCACGAAACAUCCCCAGAAACUGCUAAUACUGCUGCUGUUUGUCUACCUGAAAAAUCUGUUUUUUGGACAGCCACAUACCCGGAUUCAAACGACGAUAUCUUUUAAUUUAUAACUCCGAAUUGAGCGCAUAAAUACUCGUUGGAAAGGUAUGCCAAAGUUCUACAUGAUUCCCAAACUGAUUCCCAUUAAUUCCCCACGAAAAAUACCUAGAAACUGCUAGAACUACUGUUGUUCGUCCACCACCUAAAAUUCUGGACAGCCCCUCUACCCAAUCGCAUACGCAACAUCUAAUCAAUUGGAUUGCAGCACAAAUGAACAAGAGAUAAACACAAAAAUCACCUUGAGUUCUCCCCCUUUCCUUCCUCCCUUCUUCCCUCCACCGAAAACAAUUGAAGAUUUGCACCACGCGACGUAGAUCCGAGCGGCAAGGAAUGGCACCUUGGGAGGAGGAGAUGGGGGCAGCUAGAGUUAGGUGUGUGGCUGCAAGGGUUUGAGAGAGGAGGAGAUGGGAGGGGGGCGACGGCCAAAGGGUAGGGGGAAU
rnacentral:lncRNA from 1 species